rnacentral:misc_RNA from 1 species
AGAAAGCAGGAACUGAAGCAGAAGC